rnacentral:rRNA from 1 species
UACGGAGGGGGCAAGCGUUAUUCGGAAUCACGGGGCGUAAAGGGCGCGUAGGCGGCUUCAUAAGUCUUGGGUGAAAGCCCUCGGCUCAACCGAGGAAUUGCCUUGGAUACUGUGAAGCUCGAGGCUGGAAGAGGGCAGUGGAAUUCCCGGUGUAGCGGUGAAAUGCGUAGAUAUCUGGAGGAACACCGGUGGCGAAGGCGGCAUCCUGGACCGGUAUUGACGCUGAGGCGCGAAAGCCAGGGGAGCAAACGGG